rnacentral:rRNA from 2 species
GCAGUCGACGACUCUGGUAUUGAUUGGUGCUUGCAUCAUGAUUUACAUUUGAGUGAGUGGCGAACUGGUGAGUAACACGUGGGAAACCUGCCCAGAAGCGGGGGAUAACACCUGGAAACAGAUGCUAAUACCGCAUAACAACUUGGACCGCAUGGUCCGAGUUUGAAAGAUGGCUUCGGCUAUCACUUUUGGAUGGUCCCGCGGCGUAUUAGCUAGAUGGUGAGGUAACGGCUCACCAUGGCAAUGAUACGUAGCCGACCUGAGAGGGUAAUCGGCCACAUUGGGACUGAGACACGGCCCAAACUCCUACGGGAGGCAGCAGUAGGGAAUCUUCCACAAUGGACGAAAGUCUGAUGGAGCAACGCCGCGUGAGUGAAGAAGGGUUUCGGCUCGUAAAACUCUGUUGUUAAAGAAGAACAUAUCUGAGAGUAACUGUUCAGGUAUUGACGGUAUUUAACCAGAAAGCCACGGCUAACUACGUGCCAGCAGCCGCGGUAAUACGUAGGUGGCAAGCGUUGUCCGGAUUUAUUGGGCGUAAAGCGAGCGCAGGCGGUUUUUUAAGUCUGAUGUGAAAGCCUUCGGCUCAACCGAAGAAGUGCAUCGGAAACUGGGAAACUUGAGUGCAGAAGAGGACAGUGGAACUCCAUGUGUAGCGGUGAAAUGCGUAGAUAUAUGGAAGAACACCAGUGGCGAAGCGGCUGUCUGGUCUGUAACUGACGCUGAGGCUCGAAAGUAUGGGUAGCAAACAGGAUUAGAUACCCUGGUAGUCCAUACCGUAAACGAUGAAUGCUAGUGUUGGAGGGUUUCCGCCCUUCAGUGCUGCAGCUAACGCAUUAGCAUUCGCUGGGGAGUA